GAGUGCAGUGGCGCUAUCUCGGCUCACUCCAACCUCCGCCUCCUGGGUUCAAGCAAUUCUCCUGCCUCAGCCUCCCAAGUAACUGGGACUACAGGCAUGUGCCACCACGCCCAGCUAAUUUUUGUAUUUGUAGUAAAAAUGGGGGAGUUUCACCAUGUUGGCUAGACUGGUCCUAGACUCCUGAGCUCAAGUGAUCUGCCUGCCUCGGCUUCCCAAAGUGCUGGGAUUACAGGCAUGAGCCACCAUGCCUGGCCUGGGGAUUAUACUGAAACAUGAGAUUUGAAGGGGACAAACACCCAAACUCUAUCACCUUUUCAAUACCAGCCAUGUAUAUAUAUGCCUCUGCUUUAACACAAGCCAGAUAUCCUUUCAUUUUAUCGUAGCAACAUUCAAUGGUAAACAUCCCCUGUCUUUCCCACUUUGAGCCUUCAAGCUGCCUAUGCUCUGUGAGGAAGCCCCUGUCCCACCCCAGAUCUGGGGCUGCCUGUUGCCAAGUCAUUGUGGAAGAAUGAGAAGUUAGAGAGAUUCCACAGGGGCUCUGCCAAGCACAUGAGAUGCUCAAGGAAGAAAACUCUGGCCUCUGGGUGACCUCAAUGUCUUUUGAGUCCUAAGUGCAGAAGCUGAAGAGGUGCCUGGGACUCUCACUGACCUGCCCACCUCUGCAGCAUGGCCUCCCAGUCCUGGUGAAAUCUUCGGCAUGAUGUUCAACUUCCAGAAUUCUGCCCUCAGUGUCAGGUGUGCAGGGUUCCAGGAUUGUCCAGACCUGGCGAAAUCUUGGUAUUUGUCCUUCCUGAAAGGGUAAGUUAUACUUAACAUGACAGAUAGAAGUCGGCCCUUGGAACAUUCCAUAGGAUUCUUUGUGACCCUCCACAGAAUGCCAUGAUGGGUCAGAUACUAUGUCACUGGCCAAUUCUCUCUCAGGAAUGGUGGUGGGAAGCCGGUGAAGAGAGGGACAGUCAGCUGGCAUCACGGAUUCCUCUUUGACCCUUCCCUGAGGUGGGCUGUAGCAGACAGUGGGACCCCACUUCACCAGACAUGGCUGGCUGGAGCAAGUGGAGUCUCGCUCUGUCACCAGGCUGGAGUGCAGUGGCAUGAUCUCGGCUCGCUGAAACCUCUGACUCCCUGAUUCAAGCUAUUCUCCUGCCUCAGCCCCCUGAGAAGCUGGGAUUACAGGCACCUGCCAUUGCGCCCAGCACAUUUUCUUUAACCUGGGUUUUGCUCUGUCACCCAGGCUGGAGUGCAGGGGUGCAAUCAUGGCUCACUACAGCCUUGACCUCCUGGGCUCAGGAGGUCACCUCAGCCUCCUGAAUAACUGGAACUACAGGUGUGCUACUGAUACAGAACAGCUGGGCUCCCACCUAAACCCCAGCCUCAAGCCUGGAACCUCUGCCUAAGUGAAAACAGCUGACCCCGCUUUUCUACCCAAAUGAUUGCCUUUUUGGCCUCCCACGACCCUAUCCUGUGCCCAUAAAAACCAGAUCGACUGGCAGAAGAAAAGGGCAACACAAGUGGCUGAUACAAGUUGUCGGGGAUAUAAGUAGCUGAGUGGCAAGUGGAGGAUAAACAACUUAGCACUGGAGACUAUGGACAAACGCGGCUCACUUCAGACAGUGCGGCCUCAGGGAAAGACCACCUUCUUCUUUGCCAGCUCCUCUUCCAUCAGCAGCUACUUCCACUGCUCAGUAAAGCCUGCAUUCAUCACCUUUCAAACAGUUUGUGUGACCUGAUUCUUUCUGGACACUGAGCAAGAACUUGGUUGUCAAAAAGGGCAGGUGCAGGAGGCUGUCACCCUGACCCUGCACUGAGCUGUUAACACUUAGCCAUCCACGGACUGCAGGCUAAGUGAAAUGAGCCAUGAAGGGGAUCAAGGUCAAGGGAACGAAUCCCAUCUUACUACCAUGCCCGGCUAAUUUUUGUAUUUUUUGUAGAGAUGGAAUUUCACCAUGUUACCCAGGCUCAUCUCAAACUCCUGGGCUCAAGUGAUCUGCUAAUCUCCCUAAUCAGAUUCGUUCUUAAGGAAAUGAAAAUUUAAUUUUUCAAAAUGUGAAAAAGACCAUCUUGUGCCCUAACCACCACACCCCCCCACCGGCAGCUCCUGCAGCACAAGUGCCCAGCACACCACUGUUUGUGGGAUGCACUCCACACAGGCUACAGUUCCACACUUACAGCUACAGGCCGGGAGGGAACUCCUGCACCAAUAGCCUGGAUCAUGGCGUCCUCUGGUAUUACUAUUCCAAAACCCUCAAAGAUAAGCCAUUCUUACCUUACAUGAGGUACAGCAGAAAUGUCUGGGCAGGGGUCAAGGCUUCCAAUACUGACCUGAAAUUGAUGAAACUUUGUGGAAUGUGGGGAGAUGUCACUGAUGAAGAAAAACAAAAAUAUUUAAAUGAAUAUGAGGCAACAAAGAUAGAGUAGAAUAAUUCUAUGAAGGUCUGUCAUAAUUUCCCCUUACACUUUGCUUACAUAAAUGCAAAAAAUUAAUGCAGAAUAUGCUUUAUUUUAUUUUUUUAGACAGUCUCACUCUGUCAUUUCAGGCUUGAGUCCAGUGCAGGAGUCACGGCUCACUGCAACCUCUGCCUCCUGGAUUCAAGCUAUUCUCCUGCCUCAGCAUCCUGAGUAGUUGGGAUUACAGGCAUGCACCACCAUGCCCAGAUAAUCUUUUGUAUUUUUAGUAGAGACUGGGUUUUGUCGUGUUGGCCAGGCUGGUCUUGAACUCCUGGCCUCAAGUGAUCCACCCACCCUGGCCUUCCAAAGCACUGGGAUAAUAGGUCUGAGCCACUGUGUCCAGGCAUAGAAGCUGCUUUAGAGGAAAGAAUUUGACAGAAGCCAUCUCACAUGGAGAAAGGAGAACCUCUGUUCUUUAUUGAUAAUGCCAAAUGCUGGCGAGGAUAUGGAGCAACAGGAACUCUCAUUCAUUCCUGGGGGAAUGCAAAUGGUUCAGCUCCUUUGGAAGGCAGUUUGACAGCUUCUUGCAAAAUUAAACAUACUCUUACCGUGGAACCCAGCAAUUUGCACUCCUUGGUAUUUUUUAAUUUUUUUGGUAGAGCACUCAGCCUGCUGAAGAUCCAGAUGUUUAUGAUGAUGGGUUACUUAUUUAACAGACUUUUAAAUGGUAGUUUUAGGUCCUCAGCAAAAUUGAGCAGACAGUACAGAGUUCCCUCACAUUCUUGUCCCCUCCAGCAUUCCCACUAUCAAUAUCAUGCACCAUGGUGGUAACAUUUGUUACAAUCAAUGAAUCUCCAUUAACACACCAUUUUCACCUAAAGUCUAGAAUUUUCAUCAAAGUCACUCUUGGUAUUGUACAUUCCAUAGAUUUGGACAAAUGUGAAAUGACGCCAGGCACGGUGGCACAUGCCUGUAGUCCCAGUUAUUUGGGAGGCUGAGGUGGGAGGAUCACUUGAGCCCAGGAGUUCUGGGCUAUAGUGCACUAUGCUGAUUGGGUGUCUGCACUAAGUUCGGCAUCAAUAUGGUGACCUCCCAGGAGCAGGGGACCACCAGGUUGCAUAAGGAGGGGUGAACCAGCCCAGGUCAGAAACAGAGCAGGUCUAAACUUCCAUGCUGAUCAGUAGUGGGAUCGUACCUGUGAAUAGCCACUGCACUCCAGCCUGGGCAACAUAGUGAGAUCCAGUCUCAAAAAAAAAAUAUGUAAUGACAGGUUUCCUUUAUAGUAUCAUGAGAGUAUUUUCGCUGCCUUAAACAUCCUCUGUGCUGUCUGCUCAUCUCUUCUUCCCUAAUCCCUGGUGACCACUGAUCUUUUUACUCUCUUCAUGGUCUUGCCUUUUCUAAAAUGUCAUAUGGUUGAAAUCACAUAGUAUGCAGUCCUUUCAGAGAGCUUCUCUCAUUUAGUGACAGGUAUUUAUGUUUCUUUAUAAUGCCAAAUAAUAGUUCAUUGUCUGGUUGUUUAUUUAUCCACUCACCUACUGAAAAACAUCUUCAUUACUUCCAAGUUUUGGCAACUAUGAAUAAAGCUGCUAUAAGCAUCCAUGUGUAGAUUUUUAUAUGAACAUAAAUAUUCAACUCAUUUGGAUAAAUACCAAGGAGUACAAUUGCUGUGCUGUAUGGUAAGAGUAUGUUUAAUUUGGAAAAAACUGCCAAACUGUCUUCCAAAGUAGCUGAACAAUUUUGCAUUCCCAUUAGCGAUGAAUGAGAGUUCCUGUGGCUCCAUAUCCUUGCCAACAUUUGGCAUUAUCAGAUUGGGUCUGGCCAUUUUGAUAGAUAUAUAGUGGUAUCUCAUUGUUUUAAUUUGCAAUUCCCUACAGACAUACAUGUUAAGCAUCUUUUUUUUUCUGAAAAAAAAAAGAGAGAGACAAGAUCUUGCCCUAUUGCCCAGGCUGGAGUGCAGUGACAUGAUUAUAGCUCAUGAGACUGCAGUCUCAGCCUCCUGAGAUCAAGCUAUGCUCCUGUCUCAGCUUCCUAAGUAACUGGGACUACAGAUGUGUACCACCAUGCCCAGCAGCUUUUCUUUUUUCUUUUUCUUUUUUUUUUUUUUUUUUGUAGAGACAGGGUUUCACUUUAUUGUGCAGGCUGGUCUUGAAUUCCUGACCUCAAGCCAUCCUCCCACCUCAGCCUUCCAGUGUUGGGAUUACAGUUAUGAGCCACUGUGGCUGGCCUGAGCAUCUUUUCCUAUGUUUAAUUGCCAUCUAUACAUCUUCUUUGGUAAAGUGUCUGUUCAAAUCUUCUGUCCAUUUUUAAAUCAAGUUGUUGGUUUUUUAAAUCAAGUUUAAAGGUUCUUUGUAAAUUUUGUAUAAGUCCUUUAUCAGAUAUGUCUUUUGCAAAUAUUUUUUUUUCUAGUCUGUGACUUGUCUUCCUGUGAAGAAUUAUUUCUUUCGUGGAUCACGCUUUUGGUAUCAUAUCUAAAAAGUUCUCACCAUACCCAAGCUCAGCUGGAUUUUCUCCUGUCUUUUUUUUUUUUUUUUUAACUCUGUCACCCAGGAUAGAGUGCAAUGGCACAAUCUUGGCUCACUGCAACCUCCACUUUCCAGGUUCAAGUGAUUCUCCUGCCUGAGCCUCCUGAGUAGCUGGGAUUACAGGUGCCUGACACAAUGCCUGGCUACUUUUUUUUUUUUUUUUUGUAUUUUUAGUAAAGAGGGGGUUUCACCAUGUUGGUUAGGCUUGUCUUAAACUCCUGACCUCAACUGAUCCGCCCACCUCAGCCUUCCAAAGUGCUAGGGUUACAGGUGUAAGUCACCGCGCCCGGCCCUAUGUUAUCUUUUAAUGAUGGCUUCUCAGUGAACCAUAGAGACAGUAUUCAUUUCCAGAGAAACUACCACUUCAUUGGUGGAUUACUUAAUAAGAGGACAUUGCCAGACAAUCAUCAGUUGUCACAACAGCUAGAAUGGAAGUUCUCAAACAACAAGAUCCAGUCCUUAAUGGUCCAUCAGCAAAAACUAAAAGCCAAAUUUUUUCAAAUAGAAGAGGAACAUCAAGAAAAGAAAAAGAAAUUCCUGGAAAGCACAGAUUUAUCUAAGAAUAAACUUUAAAGGUUUAUUAAAGGUUGUGUGGAUUGAAAGUUCAAGUGAGUAUGGAGAAAAUUGCAGUUGACAAGGCAGAGGCAGAGGAACAAAACUACAAAAGGCAGAAAAAAGGGAGAAAGAGGUGGCAGAGAAAGCUGAAUGCCUCAGAGCAGAACUUUCUGAGGAAGAGCAGGUGGCUGAUAAAACCAAAGAAAAGAAGAGAGCAAGAGUGUUCCAGUGGAGACCACCUUGAAGAAAUGCCAGAAAGCCAACGGACUGGUGAAUAAGGCACAUCUACUGAGGAUAAGGUGAGUGGACAGGAGGGAAUCAAUCAUGCAGCAGAGGAAGGAACCAGUGGGAGUAUCAUUGGCUCAUAGGGCAACAGUGCCACAGGGAGGAAGUCACUGACAGAUCCCUUACCAGUAGAGGAGAAAAAAGAAUAAAGAUUGUCUAGUUUCCAUUUUAUUGUUGUUGUUUUGAGAUGGAGUCUCACUCUGUCUCUCCCAGGCUAGAGUGCAGUGGCACGAUCUUGGCUUGCUGCAAACUCCACCUCCCAGGUUCAAGCAAUUCUCCUGCCUCAGUCUCCUGAGUGGCUGGGAUUACAGGUGCCAGCCACCACACCUGGCUAAUUUUUGUAUUUUUAGUAGAGACGGGGUUUCACCAUGUUGGUCAGGCUGGUCUCGAACUCCUGACCUAGGUGAUUCACCAGCCUUCGCCUCCCAAAGUGCUGGGAUUACAGACAUGAGCCACCAUAAUCAGCCAAAAUUGUCUAGUUUUAUGUAUUCUAAAUACUUUUAUAAGUUCAUGGAGAAAAAUUCAGAAGGACUCCUCUCACCAUCACCAUAUAUCCAGGUUUGGGCACCAGAGUGAAGUUUGACUGGUCAGAUGCUCUUGCCCAAGACUAUGAGUCCUACAGGAAAGACACAGGAGAGGAGGAAAUGGAGGGAGGUCGUCCACCCAGCAGUGGGAGAGCCUGACCAGACUGUUUUGGUGUGAGGCUGUUCCAUUGCUCCUCCUCCUUUCUGGCCCCCUGGUUCUCUAGCUUUCAGGGACUCCUUCCAAUACAUUGCAUUUUGCUUAAGUUAUCCAUUUAAGUUAAAAUUGGUUUCUUUUCCUUGCAAUCAGGAAACCUAAAUGAAACGUGCCAGCCACAAUUCAACAUUUUCUCCCAGUGCAAUGAUGAUAAACUAGAGUUGCUUAUCCCAACUUCAAAUUCCUGGGAGAACCAAUCUGAUUGGCCAGCUUGAUUUAGAUCUCCACUGCUGGGCCAGUCACUCUGGCUUCUGAGGAAGGAAGGCAAGGUCACAUGAUGCUAAUAAGGCUAAUGGGAGGCUGGCAGGGCAGUAUCCACAUUUGUUUAUGUAGGCUGUGCAGUGGAUAGCUCCAAGGGUCUCAUUCACAUGAUAGACACUGUAAAUACCUGUAUUCAUAAUGAAACCAUUUUAGCAGAUGGCAAUAAAGUACGCUGAGAAAGGGUCACUUUUUCCUAAUACUCAUAUAGGUGUUCCAUGGGAUAGUGGUGACUCCAGGCUGGGCCCACUCCUCAGCAGGAAAGCGUUUGGUAGGCAGCUCUUAGAAAAGAUAGCACAGGUUGGGUAUGUCCCAGUGCUGUGUUCUACAUGUUACACAUAGUGGAGUGGGUCUUGUGCCCUUGAUGUUUGGAGCACACAUACCAUAUCCUCUUAAUAUGCAGUAACUGGCUAUGAGGCACUCAAUGUUUAGAAAGUCAAGGCUUUAGAAUGAAAGAGGAUGAGAUGCAGACAAGCCAGGCCCUACUCUGGGAAUUCAGAGCUGCUGUACAGACCAAUCUCAGCCAAACCCAGCAAAAAGUUUAUUUACUCUGCAGCUACCUUAAAGAAGGUUCAUUCAUUCAACUAAUGGCUGUGUGUCAGUUCUGUGCUAUGGGCUGGGAGCAGAACAGGAAUAAGAGUCAGGGUCGAAGGGCGCGGUGAUUCACACCUGUAAUCCCAGCACUUUGGGAGGCCAAGGCGGGCGAAUCACCUGAAGUCAGGAGUUCAAGACCAGCCUGGCCCACAUAGCAAAACCUCAUCUGUACUACAAAUACAAAACUUAGUUGGGUGUGGUGUGAUGUGCGUGUAAUCCCAGCUACCUGAGAGGCUGAGGCACGAGAAUCACUUGAACCUGAGAGGCAGAGGUUGCAGUGAGCCAAGAUUGCACCACUGCACUCCAGCUUGGGUGACAGAUUGAAACUAUCUCCCAAAAAAACAAAAACAACAAUGUGGGAAGUAGAAAAGUUCCUUUUUAAAGUGUGCUAACAACUUUGUUAAGCCCUAUCCUAUGUAGCUGUUAGACAUGCCAUGCUUACAGGCACGGGGUACGCUCUAUGUCCUUGUACUUUAACUAAGAUAUCUGUGCUGGAUGUGCUCACAGGCAUGUCCCAGCUCUCCACUGCUUUUACCUGUUUAGAAACAUUUUAAGUUAGGCGGGCGGAUCACGAGGUCGAGAGAUUGAGACCAACCUGGUCAAUAUGGUGAAACCCCGUCUCUACUAAAAAUACAAAAAAUUUGCUGGGCAUGGUGGCACGUGCCUGUAAUCCCAGCUACUCAGGAGGCUGAGGCAGGAGAAUUGUCUGAACCCAGGAGGCGGGGGUUGCAGUGAGCCGAGAUCGCGCCAUUGCACUCCAGCCUGGGUAACAAGAGCGAAACUCUGUCUCAAAAAAAAAAAAAAAAAAGAAAAGAAAAGUUUUAAGUUGUUAGCCAAUCGGGUUUUAGUUUAGAUUGUGAGGUCUGGCUCCAACCAACAGAGAUGAGAUACGGCAUUGAGGACAACCCCAAAUGCAUAAGGGAUAAAUUUAUGUGUGUUCCUUUAUUCAUUGUACUCUCAUGGCAUGAUGGCUAGUGGGAGAGCCCUUCCUGCAGUCCAGGAAGUAAAAAUCGUGUUGCUGAAAGAUCCUUUGUCCUAGUACUAAUUUUUCUUUGCAACACCAAGCAUCUAUUUCCAACAACAUGAAAAAAAGAGUCAGAGUCUAGUCUAGUAGGGGAGACAGUCAUGGAGCAAAUAUUUACUAAGUGAUGGGCGUUCUGGAAGGGAGCUGCCCAGGGUAUUGGGAGAAUGCUGGCACAAUAAGAGGAUCAGAUUUAUCUAGAAGUCAGGAAAAACCAAAGGGUGAGUGAAGUACAGCCUAGUGAAAAGCAAUGUAGGCUAGAUGAGGUGGGAUUUUUUUAAGCUAUAAGGCAAAUUUCUGUUAGAAACUAAAAAUUGCAAUGUGUCAGAUAAGGUAGAAGUUCUUCUCUCUCCCAUAAUGGUCUACAAGAGGAUAGGAGUUCAAGACCAGUGGCAGCUUGGCUCCAGAAAGGCAGACCAAAAUAACAGUGGAUUACCCAAAGGAGAAAUGUACUUCUCUUUCUCAUAUAGAGGUCCAGAGCUAUAGAGGGCAGGUUUGGUGCAGAAACUUCUCCGUGAAAUUCUCAGAAACUGUAUCUACCAGGGCUCAACUAGGGAAGCAGAACCAGUGCAAAUAUCAUGGAAUUAAUGAUUAUUUUAGGAAUGAGACUUUGCACAGUUGUUGGAGGAGAUGGAGAAGAGAAGGUCACAAAGGGAGUUGUAGGAUGGUGGGAAAAUCACUUCUCAGCCCUUGGAAAGCACGGGUUGGGGGUGAUGGGGAGGAGAUGAACUGGAGCUUGCUGGAAAAUGAGGAAGCAAAGUAUUAUCUUGCUUCCUGGAGUGGAAGAGAGAAAGGGAGCUGCUAUAAAAAAUCAACAGAAGAUUGUCGCUUCUUCAUAGAUCCUACUUCUGUGAGUUCUCUGCUGGUGAUGAGGAUGUCAGAGGAAAAAGCUGAUCACAGAGUCAGGAAGAAGAGUAAGAAUGAAGUGGAGGCCAGAUGGUGGCUCAUGCCUGUAACCCAGCACUCUGAGCGACAAAGUGAGACCUUGUUUCUACCAAAAUAAAAAUGAAAAAACUAGUCAGGCAUUUUGGUACAUGCCUGUGGUCCCAGUUAAACAGAAGGCUGAAGCAGGAGGAUCCCUUGAGCCCAGAAGGUCAAGAGUGCAGUGAGCCAUGUUCAUGUCCCUGCAUCCCAGCCUGGGCAACAGAGUAAAACACUGUCUCAAAACAAACAAGCAAGCAAAACAAUCGGAACUCUGGAAACUUUGCAUCUCUUUCUCAUGACAACCUUCAGAAGCAUAAAACCUUAAGACAUGCUUUACUUCCAACUUCCAAAUCUUGAGUAAAUUUCCUCAGGCCAACUCUAACCCAGAAUCAUACAGGGAAGGGUAUUCUGGGAAAAGCAGUCCCAGCUUAACCAAGGUGACACAGUGCAAAACCUCUAUGGCGACCCAGACCCCGUCGUUCACCACUUGACAUUCCCUCCUCCUGCUAAUUCCUCCAUUUCGGGCCUCCAGAGGAAGGAGUCAGCCUUGGGGAGUGGUAUUUCAGGAGCAGCAGAACCUGGAGUGAAACACAACAGGUUCAUCCAAAGGCACAUCCCCUUCUUAAGUAAACUGGGAGGGAAGGGGUAGGAGAGGACGUUGGGGUGUGGCAGAAUUAGACCCAGAUAGUAAAUACCUCCCCAGGUACAUAUCACCAGCCAAGGAAAUGACACAUCCAGAAAGAAAAACAAUACAUCUGAGUAAUGUAAUCCCUUUAAAAGAGAACCCCUAAAAUGAAGAAUCUAUAUGAGAUGAAGCAGAAUUAAUGGACCAGUGAGAACAAGAAUUUAAAAUAAUCCUAAUAGGCUGGGUGCAGUGAUUCAUGCUUAUAAUCCCAGCACUUUGGGGGGCCAAGGCAGGCAGAUUGCCUGAGCUCAGGAGUUUGAGACCAGCCUGGCCAAUGUGGCAAAACCCCAUCUCUACUAAAAAUACAAAAAAUUAGCCUGUGUGGUAGCACAUGCCUGUAAUCCCAGCCACUCAGGAGGUUGAGGCGGGAGGAUCACUUGAGCCAGAGCUGGGUUGCACUCCAGCCUGGACCCUGCCUACAUCUCUGAAGAUACUCACUUCGUGACCCUGCGAUUCUUCUCCUCAUUACAUAUCCCAGAGAAGUGUGUGCUUGUGUGUAUUAGGACUCUGAACCCCAAACUGGAAACGACCCCAAUGUUCAUCAAUAAUAAAAUGAAUAUAGUAUAUUCAAUGGAAUCUUAUACAAUUAAUGAAAAUAAAUGAAUGACAACUACACACAACAUAGGAAAAUAUUAAAAUAGAAUGUUGGCAACUUCACACCCAUCAGGAUGACUACUACUAUAUUUACCUCUUUUUUAAAAAAACUAGUCAAGCUUGGUUAUGGAGGGAAACAAUGUUAAU